UAAUGAUGGCCAGGCUGUCUCCACCCGAGACUCAGUGAAAUUGAACUCGCUGUGAAGAUGCAGUGUACCCGCGGCAAGACGGAAAGACCCCGUGAACCUUUACUAUAGCUUGACACUGAACAUUGAGCCUUGAUGUGUAGGAUAGGUGGGAGGCUUUGAAGCGUGGACGCCAGUCUGCGUGGAGCCAACCUUGAAAUACCACCCUUUAAUGUUUGAUGUUCUAACGUUGGCCCCUGACCGGGGUUGCGGACAGUGUCUGGUGGGUAGUUUGA
rnacentral:rRNA from 1 species